UCAGGAUGAACGCUGGCGGCGUGCUUAACACAUGCAAGUCGAACGAUGAUCCCAGCUUGCUGGGGGAUUAGUGGCGAACGGGUGAGUAACACGUGAGUAACCUGCCCUUGACUCUGGGAUAAGCCUGGGAAACUGGGUCUAAUACCGGAUAUGACUCCUCAUCGCAUGGUGGGGGGUGGAAAGCUUUUGUGGUUUUGGAUGGACUCGCGGCCUAUCAGCUUGUUGGUGGGGUAAUGGCCUACCAAGGCGACGACGGGUAGCCGGCCUGAGAGGGUGACCGGCCACACUGGGACUGAGACACGGCCCAGACUCCUACGGGAGGCAGCAGUGGGGAAUAUUGCACAAUGGGCGCAAGCCUGAUGCAGCGACGCCGCGUGAGGGAUGACGGCCUUCGGGUUGUAAACCUCUUUCAGUAGGGAAGAAGCGUAAGUGACGGUACCU
rnacentral:rRNA from 1 species